rnacentral:rRNA from 1 species
UGGGGAAUUUUGCACAAUGGGGGAAACCCUGAUGCAGCGACGCCGCGUGAUUUAGAAGGCCUUCGGGUUGUAAAAAUCUUUUCUAUGGGAAGAAAAUGACAGUACCAUAGGAAUAAGGACCGGCUAAUUACGUGCCAGCAGCCGCGGUAAUACGUAAGGUCCGAGCGUUGUCCGGAAUCAUUGGGCGUAAAGGGUACGUAGGCGGGUAAGCAAGUUAGAAGUGAAAUCCUAUAGCUCAACUAUAGUAAGCUUUUAAAACUGCUCAUCUUGAGGUAUGGAAGGGAAAGUGGAAUUCCUAGUGUAGCGGUGAAAUGCGCAGAUAUUAGGAGGAAUACCGGUGGCGAAGGCGCCUUUCUGGCCAUAACCUGACGCUGAGGUACGAAAGCGUGGGUAGCAAACAGG